rnacentral:lncRNA from 1 species
CAUUUUCCAUGUUCAAUGGACCGUGAAAUUGGGUGAAAAAUAUAAUUAGACAUUAAAAUUAGAAAGAUAAUAUCACAGGAAACAUGUGUACUAAGUUUAAAGUUGAUUGGACUUCAACUUCAUCAAAAACUACCUUGACCAAAAACUUUAACCUGAAACUCGCACUUUCAUUUUCUAAGUUCAGUGGACCGUGAAAUUGGGGUCAAAAGUUUAAUUUGGCUUUAAAAUUAGAAAGAUCAUAUCAUAAGGAACAUGUGUACUAAGUUUCAAGUUGAUUGGACUUCAACUUCAUCAAAAACUACCUUGACCAAAAACUUUAACCUGAAGCGGGACAGACGGACGAACGAACGGACGGACGGACGGACGAACGGAUGAACGGAC